rnacentral:tRNA from 1 species
GCCGAGGUGGCGGAACGGCAGACGCGCUGCGUUCAGGGCGCAGUGCCCCUUGUGGGCGUGUGAGUUCAAAUCUCUCCCUCGGCACCA